rnacentral:rRNA from 1 species
UACAGAGGGUGCGAGCGUUGUCCGGAAUCACUGGGCGUAAAGGGCGCGUAGGUGGCGACCCAAGUCGAUGGUGAAAGCUCGCCGCUCAACGGCGAGUCGGCCACUGAUACUGGGUUGCUGGAGCACUGUAGAGGCAGAUGGAAUUCCGGGUGUAGCGGUGGAAUGCGUAGAGAUCCGGAAGAACACCGGUGGCGAAGGCGGUCUGCUGGGCAGUUGCUGACA